GGAGCCUCCAGCCCGCCAGCUGUGCCGUGGAGACGCUGAGGGUGAUGCUGCUGCGGGGUGGCAGCGAGGAGGUGGUCCGGGACGUGGGCGAUUCCGGGGGCUGGGAGCUCCUGGCCAGCCCCGAGCGGCACCACGACGGCGUCGCCCUGCUUGCCAGGGCCAUGGCUCGCCACGCGGGGCCGCGGCUGCCCCUGGUGGUGAAGAACCUGACGCCGGCCCUGAGCAGCGCCUUCGACAGCCAGAGGGUCACGGCCACCGCCUUCUUC